rnacentral:rRNA from 1 species
CAAUAGCGUAUAUUAAAGUUGUUGCAGUUAGAACGCUCGUAGUCGGAUUUCGGGGCGGGCCGACCGGUCUGCCGAUGGGUACGCACUGGUCGGCGCGUCCUUCCUUCCGGAGACCGUGCCUACUCUUAACUGAGCGGGGGCGGGAGACGGAUCGUUUACUUUGAAAAAAUCAGAGUGUUUCAAGCAGGCAGCUCGCUCUUGCAUGGAUUAGCAUGGGAUAAUGAAAUAGGACUUUGGUGCUAUUUUGUUGGUUUCGAACACCGAAGUAAUGAUUAAAAGGGACAGUCAGGGGCACUCGUAUUCCGCCGAGAGAGGUGAAAUUCUCAGACCAGCGGAAGACGAACCACUGCGAAANCANNNGCCAGGGAUGUUUUCACNGA